GCUGUAGCCGGGUCAGAGGCGGGCGCGGAGGGGGCGUGUGGGAGAGGGAAACACGGAGCGAUGGGUGAAGUGUCAAAUGUCGCGUCUGGACGAGUUUGUCUCAGGAAACGGGUGAGGAAGUGAGUCCCACCCACAGAGGAGACACAGGGACGAGAGAGGAUAUCAACUCGUCCACCACAACAAUAAAGGUGGAUUCUUUUCUCUCAUGUCUGCUCCUGAACCUCAUCAGGUUUACUUCUUCUUUCUGUGCUUUUCUUUGGAACAACGCUUCAUGGACAAAGGAGAAAUUCAACUUGUCAACUGGACAAAAGUUGACAAAUCAGCCACGGACUCUACUGGACGACUGGGGGACUGUACACACAACACAUAGUAUGACACAUUUGACUGACAGCUGGUAGGGGUGUAAGAAAAAAUCGAUUCAGUGAUAUAUUGUGAUACUUCACUGCGCAAUUCUCAAAUAGAUUCAAAAUGGAUCCGAAUCGAUUUUUAAAAUUUUCAUAAAAAUUCAUUCACUGAAUUUUUCUGUUCUCUUCACUGUUCUCAUGAUUUAAAAAUAAAUAUAAAAAUGAUA